rnacentral:rRNA from 1 species
CUAGUAAUCAUAGGUCAGCAUACUAUGGUGAAUACGUUCCCGGGCCUUGUACACACCGCCCGUCACACCAUGAGAGUUGGGAAUACCCGAAGCCCAUGUCAAAGUGGUCGAAGGUAGGCCCUUGAUGAUUGGGGUGAAGUCGUAACAAGGUAAC